rnacentral:rRNA from 1 species
AGAGUUUGAUCAUGGCUCAGAGCGAACGCUGGCGGCAGGCCUAAUACAUGCAAGUCGAACGGCUCUUCGGAGCAGUGGCGGACGGGUGAGUAACGCGUGGGAACGUGCCCUUUGGUUCGGAACAACACAGGGAAACUUGUGCUAAUACCGAAUGUGCCCUUCGGGGGAAAGAUUUAUCGCCAUUGGAGCGGCCCGCGUUGGAUUAGCUAGUUGGUGGGGUAAAGGCCCACCAAGGCUACGAUCCAUAGCUGGUCUGAGAGGAUGAUCAGCCACACUGGGACUGAGACACGGCCCAGACUCCUACGGGAGGCAGCAGUAGGGAAUCUUGCGCAAUGGGCGAAAGCCUGACGCAGCCAUGCCGCGUGAAUGAUGAAGGUCUUAGGAUUGUAAAAUUCUUUCACCGGGGAAGAUAAUGACGGUACCCGGAGAAGAAGCCCCGGCUAACUUCGUGCCAGCAGCCGCGGUAAUACGAAGGGGGCUAGCGUUGCUCGGAAUUACUGGGCGUAAAGGGCGCGUAGGCGGACAUUUAAGUCAGAGGUGAAAGCCCAGGGCUCAACCUUGGAAUUGCCUUUGAUACUGGAUGUCUUGAGUUCGGGAGAGGUGAGUGGAAUGCCGAGUGUAGAGGUGAAAUUCGUAGAUAUUCGGCGGAACACCAGUGGCGAAGGCGACUCACUGGCCCGAUACUGACGCUGAGGCGCGAAAGCGUGGGGAGCAAACAGGAUUAGAUACCCCGGUAGUCCAA